rnacentral:rRNA from 1 species
AUGGCGUUGAAGUUUCAUCCCGUGGUGCUCGGUGGCAGUGGUGGCCUCGGCGGUGUGGUGAACUCUCUGGGUUCCUCAAGGCAGUGCUGCGGGGCUGCACCGCUCUGCGCCGGCAAUAGCGGUCUACGACGGCGUCACGAUGCGGCGGCUGCUAUGGUGCUAGGUCUUGGCCUUUCUCAGAUUCGGCGCAGGUUGUUGCAUCCAUACAUGAAGUUUACUCGUUUCAAUUUGGCUGCACAAAUUUUAGUAUGGGCCUUCACCGGAUUUGAUGUUGAGGACAAAUCAAGAGCUUCUCUUUAG